rnacentral:rRNA from 1 species
GAAAGCGUGGGUAGCGAACAGGAUUAGAUACCCUGGUAGUCCACGCCGUAAACGAUGACAACUAGCUGUUAGGAGACUAUGUCUUUUAGUGGCGCAGCUAACGUUUUAAGUUGUCCGCCUGGGGAGUACGGCCGCAAGGCUAAAACUCAAAUGAAUUGACGGGGACCCGCACAAGCAGUGGAUCAUGUGGUUUAAUUCGAUGCAACGCGAAAAACCUUACCUACUCUUGACAUACUUGGAAGCUCUUGUAAUGAGAGUGUGCUUUUAAGAACCAAGAUACAGGUGCUGCAUGGCUGUCGUCAGCUCGUGUCGUGAGAUGUUCCGUUAAGUCGGAUAACGAGCGCAACCCUUACCCUUAUUUGCCAGCGAUUCGGUCGGGAACUAUAAGGGGACUGCCGGUGAUAAACCGGAGGAAGGUGAGGACGACGUCAAGUCAUCAUGGCCCUUACGAGUAGGGCUACACACGUGAUACAAUGGGAGAGACAGACGGACGCUAAGCCGCGAGGUGGUGCUAAUCCUAGAAACUCUCUCGUAGUCCGGAUUGGAGUCUGCAACUCGACUCCAUGAAGUUGGAAUUGCUAGUAAUCGCGGAUCAGCAUGCCGCGGUGAAUACGUUCUCGGGUCUUGUACACACCGCCCGUCACACCAUGGAAGUGGAUUGCACCAGAAGUAGAUAGUCUAACCUUAGGGAGGGCGUUUACCACGGUGUGCUUCAUGACUGGGGUGAAGUCGUAACAAGGUAGCCGUAGGGGAACCUGUGGCUG